UACGUAGGGUGCAAGCGUUGUCCGGAAUUAUUGGGCGUAAAGAGCUCGUAGGCGGUUUGUCGCGUCUGCUGUGAAAACUCGGGGCUUAACCCCGGGCCUGCAGUGGGUACGGGCAGACUAGAGUGCGGUAGGGGAGACUGGAAUUCCUGGUGUAGCGGUGAAAUGCGCAGAUAUCAGGAGGAACACCGGUGGCGAAGGCGGGUCUCUGGGCCGUAACUGACGCUCAUGCACGAAAGCGUGGGGAGCAAACAGG
rnacentral:rRNA from 1 species